GAUGAACGCUGGCGGCGUGCCUAAUACAUGCCAGUCGAGCGAACAGAUGAGGAGCUUGCUCCUCUGACGUUAGCGGCGGACGGGUGAGUAACACGUGGAUAACCUACCUAUAAGACUGGGAUAACUUCGGGAAACCGGAGCUAAUACCGGAUAAUAUAUUGAACCGCAUGGUUCAAUAGUGAAAGACGGUUUUGCUGUCACUUAUAGAUGGAUCCGCGCCGCAUUAGCUAGUUGGUAAGGUAACGGCUUACCAAGGCAACGAUGCGUAGCCGACCUGAGAGGGUGAUCGGCCACACUGGAACUGAGACACGGUCCAGACUCCUACGGGAGGCGGCAGUAGGGAAUCUUCCGCAAUGGGCGAAAGCCUGACGGAGCAACGCCGCGUGAGUGAUGAAGGUCUUCGGAUCGUAAAACUCUGUUAUUAGGGAAGAACAAAUAUGUAAGUAACUAUGCACGUCUUGACGGUACCUAAUCAGAAAGCCACGGCUAACUACGUG
rnacentral:rRNA from 1 species